rnacentral:rRNA from 1 species
ACGGAAGGCAGCAGUAGGGAAUAUUGCACAAUGGGGGAAACCCUGAUGCAGCAACGCCACGUGUGGGAAGAAGCAGUUCGGUGUGUAAACCACUGUCGUGAGGGAAUAACGCUUGAUUUCGGUCAAGUUGAAUGUACCUCGAAAGGAAGCACCGGCAAACGUCGUGCCAGCAGCCGCGGUAAUACGAGGGGUGCAAGCGUUGUUCGGAAUCACUGGGCGUAAAGGGAGCGCAGGCGGAGAUGCAAGCGGACUGUACAAUCCCGGUGCCCAACCCCGGACCUGCCGUCCGGACUGCACCUCUUGGUUUGUUCAGGGGCAAGCGGAAUUCCUGGUGUAGCGGUGGAAUGCGUAGAGAUCAGGAAGAACACCGAUGGCGAAGGCAGCUUGCUGGGGACUUAUCGACGCUCAUGCUCGAAAGUGCGGGUAGCAAACAGGAUUAGAUACCCUGGUA